rnacentral:rRNA from 1 species
UCCUACGGGAGGCAGCAGUGGGGAAUCUUAGACAAUGGGGGCAACCCUGAUCUAGCCAUGCCGCGUGAGUGAUGAAGGCCUUAGGGUCGUAAAGCUCUUUCGCCUGUGAUGAUAAUGACAGUAGCAGGUAAAGAAACCCCGGCUAACUCCGUGCCAGCAGCCGCGGUAAUACGGAGGGGGUUAGCGUUGUUCGGAAUUACUGGGCGUAAAGCGCGCGUAGGCGGAUUAGAAAGUUGGGGGUGAAAUCCCGGGGCUCAACCUCGGAACUGCCUCCAAAACUGCUAGUCUAGAGUUCGAGAGAGGUGAGUGGAAUUCCGAGUGUAGAGGUGAAAUUCGUAGAUAUUCGGAGGAACACCAGUGGCGAAGGCGGCUCACUGGCUCGAUACUGACGCUGAGGUGCGAAAGUGUGGGGAGCAAACAGGAUUAGAGACCCUGGUAGUCCACACCGUAAACGAUGA